rnacentral:rRNA from 1 species
UACGGAGGGUGCAAGCGUUAUCCGGAUUCACUGGGUUUAAAGGGUGCGUAGGUGGGUUGGUAAGUCAGUGGUGAAAUCUCCAGGCUUAACUUGGAAACUGCCAUUGAUACUAUCAAUCUUGAAUACCGUGGAGGUCAGCGGAAUAUGUCAUGUAGCGGUGAAAUGCUUAGAUAUGACAUAGAACACCAAUUGCGAAGGCAGCUGGCUACACGAAUAUUGACACUGAUGCACGAAAGCGUGGGAUCAAACAGG